rnacentral:rRNA from 1 species
AUUGAACGCUGGCGGCAGGCCUAACACAUGCAAGUCGAACGGUAACAGGAAGAAGCUUGCUUCUUUGCUGACGAGUGGCGGACGGGUGAGUAAUGUCUGGGAAACUGCCUGAUGGAGGGGGAUAACUACUGGAAACGGUAGCUAAUACCGCAUAACGUCGCAAGACCAAAGAGGGGGACCUUCGGGCCUCUUGCCAUCGGAUGUGCCCAGAUGGGAUUAGCUAGUAGGUGGGGUAACGGCUCACCUAGGCGACGAUCCCUAGCUGGUCUGAGAGGAUGACCAGCCACACGGGAACUGAGACACGGUCCAGACUCCUACGGGAGGCAGCAGUGGGGAAUAUUGCACAAUGGGCGCAAGCCUGAUGCAGCCAUGCCGCGUGUAUGAAGAAGGCCUUCGGGUUGUAAAGUACUUUCAGCGGGGAGGAAGGGAGUAAAGUUAAUACCUUGGCUGAUUGACGUUACCCGCAGAAGAAGCACCGGCUAACUCCGUG